rnacentral:lncRNA from 1 species
CCAUAAAUAGGCAAAAUUCACUCACUCUCAGCAAAGAACAUUCACAUGCCACAUAGAUACACCAUAAGCUUGCCCCUAGUGUAAUACUCUACUAGUCGAGUUGUUCAGUCCAAGAUCAAAAGGUCUUUAUUUGGUUGUAAUGUAGGCUAAGGGACGGGAAGGAUAUAUUUAGAUAUAAUGACUAACCUCCCUAAGCACUUUUAAUACAAAAUUUUUUUUAUUCCAAUUUUCAUGUUCAGCCCAAUCAUUCCUCCAUAUUUGUUUUAUAGGUGACCCCCACUUUUCUUUCGGUGCAACUGGCCCUUUUUUUCUCUUUUUUUCUUUUUGUUUUGUUUUGUUUUCUUCCCCUUUUUUAGUAGCCAUUUCACCAUUCAAGUAAUUUUUCUGAUUCCC